UUUUUAUUCUGCAUACACCUGAUAUAUAUUUUCUCAUCAAUGUGGACAUCAAAAUGAACAGCACAAUCAUCCCACGUGCAUAGUUCCUGCCGCAUAAACAUUCGGAUUGUAAGAGAGAAAACCAAACACGGGCAAAUCGGGGUAAUGUCCCCUUGUUUUGACUGGCGAUGGACAGAUUGAUUGGCUUAUCCUUCUUGGCGGGCGGUGGAAUGCUCGGUAUAUACUAUUGUACAUGGAUACUUGUAUUGCCAUUUGUGGACAAAGAAAACAUUUUGCAGAUGUUUUUUCCUCCCAAAGUUUUUGCAGUCGCAUUUCCUCUUGCAAUUGGUGCGAUUGGUCUUCUAGUAAUAGGUUUAUUCACCAGUGUAACAAUGUCGCAAAGAAAAGGCGUCAACGUUUCAAAAAAGUCGUAAUGCAAUUUGUCUGCUGCAGUUAACAUUAACCUAGCUUUUUCUGAAGACAUUUUAUUAAUAUUGUAAUAAAGGUUUUGGCAUGAUGCAUAUUAAAUAUUAUCAACUACCAGUAGUUUAUUUUGUUUUGG